CCUGCCACUAGAGGCAUUUCGGGGUGGCCGCUGUAUCACGCAUGCCACAGUAGGGGGCAGAGAGGAGAGAGGCUAUGUCUACACUCAGUGUUCUGACCUGUGAACAUCUGAAUGAUUAGUGGCCCAACAUU